UGAGGUCACGGCAAGACCAGCCGUUCAAUAGGUGCCAGGUAGAAGUCGGGUAACCGAUGGAGCUGAGGCAUCCUAACAGACCGAGAGAUUUGAAC
rnacentral:rRNA from 1 species